rnacentral:rRNA from 1 species
GACGGACGCUGGCGGCGUGCUUAACACAUGCAAGUCGAACGGAAAGGCCCUGCUUUUGUGGGGUGCUCGAGUGGCGAACGGGUGAGUAACACGUGAGUAACCUGCCCUUGACUUUGGGAUAACUUCAGGAAACUGGGGCUAAUACCGGAUAGGAGCUCCUGCUGCAUGGUGGGGGUUGGAAAGUUUCGGCGGUUGGGGAUGGACUCGCGGCUUAUCAGCUUGUUGGUGGGGUAGUGGCUUACCAAGGCUUUGACGGGUAGCCGGCCUGAGAGGGUGACCGGCCACAUUGGGACGGAGAUACGGCCCAGACUCCUACGGGAGGCAGCAGUGGGGAAUAUUGCACAAUGGGCGGAAGCCUGAUGCAGCAACGCCGCGUGCGGGAUGACGGCCUUCGGGUUGUAAACCGCUUUCGCCUGUGACGAAGCGUGAGUGACGGUAAUGGGUAAAGAAGCACCGGCUAACUACGUG